rnacentral:lncRNA from 1 species
CCAGGAUGUCUUAAGAAAUAAAAGCAAGAGAAAGACUUUCCUAUGAGGGUCAAAAGAUUCCAAAGUCUAAUACUCUUACACCAUACGGGAAAGAGACGCAUAUGUUUGUUAAGGUGUGUGGAAGAGAGUGUGUGAGCACAUCCUACAUUGCUCCUCUUGGGUCUUGAUCUAUCAACAUUUUCUCCUUAUCUUCAGCCUCUCCUCUACUUCUUUGCUACUCUCAGAAACAUGUGUGAGAUGCUUUCAACCCCCCCCCCCCACCACCAAAAACAAAUACCUCAUCUGAUUCCACAGCUUCUCUAGCCAUCAUUUCAUUCCUACUCAAACAAAUAUCAUUAAAGAACAGAUCACGAUUGUCCUCAUUUUCACCUCCCAUUGACUUUGCAACACAAAGCACUGAAACCCCUCUCACUGGUAAAUGUUCAUCAGGUGAAAGGAUGUGACAGAAAACAAAGCACACUUGGCCCCUGUCCUCAUAUUUCUGUGGCCUACUUGCCCUUAAGUCUUGAUCCCCUGGGCAAAUUUUGGGGAAUGAAUCUCUAAGCACUCUCUUCCCAAUGUUCUUCACUGUCUCCUUUUGUUCCCUAAACUCUACUCUCAAAAGAUUUCAGGUGAGCCCUGGAUUGACUGAGAUUGAAAAACAAUGGCUCAUGUUCAUUCUUUCUCCAGAAGUCAAAUCUCAGUGUGGCAGGAAGAAGGGACCUGGAUUACAUUCAUACAUUCGACAGAUAUUAUGUGCUGGUCCUGCUGUAGGCCCUGAACAGCUGUGAGCAAGGAGUGCAUCCAGUAGAGUCACACAGACAGAAAUAAAACAGACAACAGACACGUAAAAAGUAAGUAU